rnacentral:lncRNA from 10 species
AUUCAACUUUUCUAUGUUGUUUUGUUUUAGGAUGUCUCUUAUAAGCAGCAUAGAGCUAGACUUUGUUUUUUAAAUCCAGUUUUGUACUCUCUCUCUUUUAUAGAUGUGCUAAACCCUUUAUUUGACCAAGAAGAUAUCAUAUGUUAUAAACUUUACCAUAAAUCUGGUGACAGAUGAAGAAGGAGAAACAAAUGUGACUAUUCAACUAUGGGAUUCUGAAGAUAGAAUUUGGAGUUGUGUACAGUUGUGUGGAAGAUAAGAUGUACACUACCAGGAAAGGAAAAGAUAUUACCAAAUCACUCUUGGUGACCGAGCUGGGCUAUUGCAGAACAUCAGAAAUUGUAAGAACUAUUAUUUCCAAUAUGGAAAAGCUUUUUUGCAUUCCUAUCCAUGGGAUCCGGAGUGUUGGAACAGCAGCUACUAAUGUGCAUUGUGGCAAGUGGAGGAGCAGAAGCAUUUUAUGAAAUGGGAAUUCACUGCUGGGAUAUUGCAGGAGCUGCCAUUAUUGUUACUGAAGUUGGUGGUGUGCUAAUGGAUGUUACUGGUAAAAUUAUGAGAUAAUGGAUCAUUUUUCUCUUUACAUCUCUUGGACUUUCCUCUGUAUGUGGGGUUAAAAAACAGUUUGAUACAUAUGAUAACUUGGCUUUUAAGACAAACAGGCUAUAUAAUUUUGUGCAAAAUCAAAAUAAACAUUAGGAGAUAGAGGCAAGGAUGAGAACUAAUGGCAAUGUGGGACUGAUAGUGAUGAAUGGCUAAGUCUUUUCAAAUGUGAGUAAUAGGAACUCCUGAAAGGCUGUAGAGAAAGCCUAGACAGUCACUGAGUCUGAGGCUUGUGUUCAGAGUUCUUUGAAUGCUGACCACUGUGAUAGUUGAUGAUGGACUUCAGUCCUCCACCAUCACCUUCUUUGUUGGGACUAGAGAAGUUAAAUAUUUGCUUUGAGCUGAUGGUGAAAUUUUUGAAGUGAAGAGUGAACCUGGGUUUAAAGAAUUCACCAGUGAUCUGAGAGAAAGACAACAAAGAAAUAAGGAAAUGGGAAGGACAGUGGUGUGAAAAUUAAUUGGAGUCACAUUUUCUGUCCAUAGAUUCUUAAAUAGUAAAGAGGUAAUAAGAGUGCAUACACACACGCACACACACAAAGAAAUAGAGAAUAGAUGACAUUUUUUCAGACUAUCAUGACUUGAGACUCCCUCUCUCCCCCGUCAACUUUGCCAGUAAAUACCAAACAAGUGGUAUUUUAAAAAACAUAUACUUAGAAACUCAGCUAUGCAUUGCCAAAGCUUAAACAUUGUAGUUAUGUGACAGUAUAGUAGAUUUUUAAAAGAAAACUGAAAGUAUUGAAAUGUCAUGAUUGACCAUAGUGCACAUUGCUGUACUUGUUUGAUGUAAAUUAUUUUUGUAACAGAUAUAACUAUUUACCAUACUUGAUUUGUUUUAGGUGGACCGUUCAAUUUAAUGUCAUGAAGAAUAAUUGCUGCAAAAUGUACAGCCAUUAUCAGAAAGGAAAGCCAAAGAAAUUCAGGUAGUACCUUUUCAACGAGAUGAUGAAGAUUAAUUACAGCAGCCUCAUAGCCAAUCACAGUUGCUUUUCCCCAGAUUUGCUGACUCACUGAUGGAUAUGGGUUUCAGAUGUAUGAUAUGCUUGGUUUCAAUUGUCUUUGUCCAGAUUAAAAAUUUUGAACUUGUUUCAUAUUUUACUAUGGCUAGGUUUGCAAGAAUAGACAUAAUGUUUACUUCAUUGUUUAAAAAAUGGCAUGUGAGAGCUUUAGGAAAAAUACACAAAAACUACAAUUGAUGAAAUAAGUAUAACAUCAACUGAAAUAGUUAGCAAUUUUGCAUUUCUGAGUAUCAAUGGUCUGAAAUUUUGUCUUGCUAUAUACAUGUAUGCCUAGACACUUGCUUAGAAAGUUACCUAUUUGGAAAAAAAAUUGUUUGGUUUCAAAAGCCAUAUUUAAAUUUGUAAGGAUAUAUUGAGUACUUCCUAGACCAAGGUUUUUUUCUUUAAAGAGAACUUUUUUUGUUUCAUUCAGUGUUCAUAUAACACCUAGCACCAUGCCUGUCAGUUGGCAACCAAAAUUAAACAUUGUAAGAAUGAAUAUUUUGAAGUCAUCGAUUUCUAGUUAUUAUACAGAGUAGAUACAUAAUGAGCUCACCAUUCUGUACUUUUGCUGUAUAUUUCAUGAUGAGAAUUUUGAAGUAAAAACAGUAGUUAUCUUUUGUAUAUUUCACAUUACCAUACUGCCAGAUACAGUUGAUUGUUGUGGGCAUUUCUGCAAUAAAUAUAUUUUCCAAAGCACUUAGUUAAGGUAUGUAUUUUAAUUUCUUUAAAGUCCCUGAGUAAGAGAGAAGAAACUGUUCCUAAAAAGCACUCUCAUCAGAUAUCUAAUAUAUUUUGAUGCAGUGUAACAUUUUACUAAUUUCAAUAGUCACAUUUCAAAGAUGUUGGUGCUGAUUUGGUUGUGUUGGCAAAUUAUGUGUUAUUGUUAAUAUUCAACUAUUUGGUUUCCUCCCAAAUCCUUAUAUAAUUUCAUCAUUACUGGAUUCCAUUCAGCCUUUAAGUAAGAGAAUAGAUGACAUUUUUCAGACCAGUAUGACUUGCAAUUCCCUCUCUCACACCAACCUGGCCAGUAAAUACCAAUAAAUAUCUUUUUUCUUUUUUUCUUUUCUUUUUUUUUUUGAGACAAUCUCAUUCUGUUGCCCAGGCUGGAGUGUGGUGGCACGAUCUCAGCUCACCACAACCUCCGCCUCCUGGGUUCAAGUGAUUCUCCUGCCUCAGCCUCCCCAGCUAAUUUUUGUAGUUUUAGUAGAGGUGAGGUUUUACUAUGUUGGCCAGGUUGGUCUCAAACUCCUGACCUCGUGAUCCACCUGCCUCGGUCUCCCAAAGUGCUGGGAUUACAUGUGUGAGCCACCACGCCCAGCCACCAAUAAAUAUCUUAAUCAUCCUUGGCCGAACAAACAAAAAAAGAAAAUUGUACUGGUUCAUAGAUAUUUUUAAAAGAUUAAUUUAUUGUUUAGCCCUUGGCACAUGAAAAGGCUACUAAGUUUUAUUGUAGAUUUCUAAAUGCCUUUUAUUUGAUACAAUGAAAAGUGCUGCUAUAAAGUGUUCAAAGUAGGGAUUACUUUAUUAUGUGUACAUCUAAAUAUAUAUGAUACUAGGAUUUAAGUACUGUAAUUAAUUUAUUAAUACUAUUGAUCACAUGCAGUUAAAACAUCUGAUAUUGUAUAAUUCUAG